rnacentral:rRNA from 1 species
UACGAAGGGGGCUAGCGUUGUUCGGAAUUACUGGGCGUAAAGCGCGCGCAGGCGGUCCUUCAAGUCAGAGGUGAAAGCCCAGAGCUCAACUCUGGAAUGGCCUUUGAGACUAGAGGACUUGAGUACGGGAGAGGUGAGUGGAAUUCCGAGUGUAGAGGUGAAAUUCGUAGAUAUUCGGAAGAACACCAGUGGCGAAGGCGGCUCACUGGCCCGUUACCGACGCUCAGGCGCGACAGCGUGGGGAGCAAACAGG